rnacentral:lncRNA from 1 species
ACUACUCAGGAAGCAAAGGAAAAAGAAAAGCCCAAAAAAACCUUCGCCACCUCUACUAGUUGAGGUGGAGGAGAGUGAAGAAAGUAAUCCUAAAGUAACAACACUACCUGAAAGUACAGCUUCUGAGCAGCCUGAGUCUGAGUAUUCUGAGUCUUGGGAGCCUAAGUUAGAGUAUGCUAAAUCUGAGCAACCUGAAUCUAAGGGGCUAUCAUAUGAGUCCCCUUCUGC